CCAGAUCCCAGGGGUGAUGCGCUGCCAAGAUCAGUCUUGUUGGAGUGGAUCCAAGAGCAGGAAAAGAGGUGACCUUCGAGCUCAAGAAAUACAUGACAAUCCCCAUGAAGUUACUGGAAAAGGGAUGAAAAUAAAGGGACUAACAGGUUGCCUGGCACCAAGGAAGAACGCAGGAAAUUUUGUCCAACGACUGUUCGGAUGAAAAGGGCUUUCACAGGCA